AAACCAGCUGAAGUAUUACAGAAAGAGGAAAUGCUGCAGAGACCCAGCCGGAAACAGUGCUGGCCAGCUCACGCCUGACCCACCCUUAUUCUAAGCAUAGGGUCUGCCUCUGAAGAGCUAAAGACUUCCUGAAAUUUAAAAAUUAGUGCUUUUAUUUGCUUGUCCUGCUAAGACCGUAGGCAAAGGCCAUCCUCCUCCCAUUGACAGUUUAGAGUGGAAACAACCACGGUUACCCUAGAAGUAAAUCCAGAGCUGCGGGACGCUGGAGGACAAAACCAACCUUCCAGGGAAGCCGAGGAGAAGUCAUGCCUUCAAAAGAUGAAGAAACUGACAUCUGGAGAAGUUGAAGUAAUUUGCACAAAGAUUCACUUGGCUAACGGAGUUUUGCUCUGUCACCCAGGCUGGAGUGCAAUGGCCCGAUCUCGCCUCACUGCAACCUCCACCUCCCGAGUUCAAGAGAUUCUCCUGCCUCAGCCUCCCAGGGGCUGGGAAGUUCAAGAUCCAGGCCUCAGAAGAUUUGGGGUUUGGUGAGGGCCAUCUUCUCACUGUAGCCUUACAUGGUGGAAGAGGUAAGGCAGCUCUCUGGAACCUCUUUUAUAAGGGCACUAAUCCCUUUCAUGAGAACUCAGCCCUUAUGAACUCAUCGCCUCCUAAAUUCUCUACCUCCUAACACCAUCACUUUGACAAUCAGAUUUCAACAUAUGAAUUUGUGGGAGUCACCAGCAUUGAGACUAUAGCAACCCCUUAUUAGAAAUAAUUCAUGAGGAACUGAAACUGUUAGGAAACCACUGUGUAAAUGCUGGGAAACAAAGUCAGAUAAAUAAUGCUGAUAAUUACCUGACUGCUUUUGGAACUGUCCUUUUUUGUGAACAUGAGACUACAUCAUUGUCAGUUGAUUGCAGAAGAACCACUAUGAUAUUAUAAUGGGGUCCUGACUCCAUGACUGUGUAAUUCAUGGCUUUCUAACGGUUUAUUAUUGACCUAACUUUGCAGCUCCCCUAGAUCCCCUAACUCCACCAUCUUGGGUUGCAACCAAUGACCUGUUAUUGCAAAACAGGUAAUCUCACUUAGAUAAGUAUUAAUCAGAGGGGCUUGACUUCCAGAGUUCAUUUCAAUGGUUUUCAACUCAUUUGUAGAGUUUAACAUCAGUAGCCCUUUCUCUUCCAUAGGAGGGAGAUGAACCAUCCUGUUUGUUCAAUAAUCAGUGAGAGCGUGGCUUUAACGUCUCUUCCACUCCUUUCUAGUUCAGGUCUUUCUUAACUUGAUGGAGAUAGCUUGGGCCAGGGAGGGCAGAGUGAAGAUGAGAUGGCAAAAAAAAAAAAGUUUUGAUCAGCAGCAUUGACUCUGUGCUAAAUACUGUGCUCAGCUCUUUGGAUGUUAUUUCAUUGAAAUGGAAAGAACACUGUAAAGUUGUCUUGUGAGGCACACUUUCCUGUUGAGGAAAUAAAAGCAUUAAAUAACUUGCCCCCAAAUACAAAGCUAUUAGGAUUGAAACAAAGACUUGAGCCCGGGAUCUAUCUAAUUUCAAGGUCCUUGUUUUUUUUCUACUACAUUUCUCUUUGAGAUACAGUUACUCAAAGGUGUCCAAACUUCAGUUAAUGUCAACCUCUGCCUCACUCUGGUCCUGGUGCCUUUCCCAUGUUCCUGAGAAGAUCAUGUGGCACACUUCUCUAAACGUCUCUGUGCCAUAUCUCUUGGGAUCAAAAGGCCAUUCCAAUAAUUCUUCUGCAUUUCUUAAUGUAUGCUCAGAUGGCCCUGGUUUGCAUUUAGAGAAAGGAAGCUAAGACCUUGGUGAUAACUAAAUAUUUAUAUCUAUUUUUUGAUUAUGUGCUUGUAUUUAAUUAAGUGGGUGCCUACUGUUGUGAAAAUACUUUUGAAUACAAUUCUGAAGUUGUGCCAGGGAACUCUGACAAUGGGUAUGCUGGGAGCUGUCUGAUUUCCUUGUCCUAGACAACUCAUACAAUGCAGUAGAAAAAGAAUUCUUUAUUCCCACUGCCUUUCCUUAGCCCUUCUUCAGAGCAGGGGAAGUGUGACUGUAGCUUUAAAUAGUUUAAAUAGUCCUUCAAAUACGGCAAAUAAAACAGUAUCAAUGAAAAAGAAGAUAAAAUGAGUGGAUUACUCAUAUGAGUUUCAGUUUUAUCAUUCAGUUUCACAGAACUCCAAAGAAUAAUGUGAUUAAGUGGUUUCUUUUUGCAAGGAUUUUCCAGGUGAAAGAUCUGAGCUAUAUAUUGAGGAACCAUAGGAUUAAAAUAGACAUGGGUUUGCUUCUAUGACAGCAUUUUGCAAAAUAACAUGACCAGGUACUAUUGCUCAUGCCUGUCACCCCAGCACCGUGGUCAAGGCAAGUAGAUCACUUGAGGCCAGGAAUUCAAGACCAGCCUGGCUAACAUGGCAAAACCUCAUCUCUAUUAAAAAUACAAAACUUAGCCAGAUCUGGUGGCACAUGCCUGUAAUCCCAGCUACUCAGGAGGCUGAGGCAUGAGAAUCACUUGAGCCUGGCAGGCAGAGGUUGCAGUGAGCCGAGAUUGUGCCACUGUGCUCCAGCCUGGGUGAUAGAGUGAGACCCUGUCUCAAAACAAACAAACAAAGCAAACAAAAACACACACACAAAAAAACCCACCUCUGAUGUGACCCAUGGAUAGAAAACAACAAAUUAAGUUUUAAUGAGACUAUAUAUGCUUGUACUUUAAAAUGGGGCUAAUUCAUAGAUAUAGAAAACUAUACUUAUGACAGUUCAUAUAAAUGAGCCACUGGACUGUCCAAAUUUACCUCUUUUUAUUGUAUGGAC
rnacentral:lncRNA from 10 species